rnacentral:rRNA from 1 species
CCUACGGGGUGCAGCAGUGAGGAAUAUUGGUCAAUGGGCUUACGCCUGAACCAGCCAAGUCGCGUGAGGAAAGACUGCCCUAUGGGUUGUAAACCUCUUUUGUCAGGGAGCAACGCCGGCUACGUGUAGCCGGACUGAGAGUACCUGAAGAAAAAGCAUCGGCUAACUCCGUGCCAGCAGCCGCGGUAAUACGGAGGAUGCGAGCGUUAUCCGGAUUUAUUGGGUUUAAAGGGUGCGUAGGCGGAAUGCCAAGUCAGCGGUAAAAUCGCGGGGCUCAACCUCGCUCCGCCGUUGAAACUGGCGUUCUUGAGUGGGCGAGAAGUAUGCGGAAUGCGCAGUGUAGCGGUGAAAUGCUUAGAUAUUGCGCAGAACUCCGAUUGCGAAGGCAGCAUACCGGCGGCGAUCUGACGCUGAGGCACGAAAGCGUGGGUAUCGAACAGGAUUAGAUACCCGGGUAGUC